rnacentral:lncRNA from 1 species
CCCGAUGCUCCACCUGAAUUCGAUCACUGCUGCAUGUGGCUGUGGGGUCAUUGGUGAUCCCCUGUCGUUCGAAUUUGAAUGCAAAAAUAUCUAAUACAAAGAAUGUAAUAUUAGUUAGCAAAGGAUAAAAUAAUAUAAAUAAGAAUAUCUAAAGUGUUAGUUUAAGCCUGAUGUAAGAGGUUUAUGAGAACCAUAUGAGC